rnacentral:rRNA from 1 species
AACGAACGCUGGCGGCAGGCCUAACACAUGCAAGUCGAGCGAGGACUUCGGGUCUAGCGGCGGACGGGUGAGUAACGCGUGGGAAUGUGCCCUUCUCUACGGAAUAGCCCUGGGAAACUGGGAGUAAUACCGUAUACGCCCUUUUGGGGAAAGAUUUAUCGGAGCAGGAUCAGCCCGCGUUGGAUUAGGUAGUUGGUGGGGUAAUGGCCUACCAAGCCGACGAUCCAUAGCUGGUUUGAGAGGAUGAUCAGCCACACUGGGACUGAGACACGGCCCAGACUCCUACGGGAGGCAGCAGUGUGGAAUCUUAGACAAGGGGGGCAACCCUGAUCUAGCCAUGCCGCGGGAGUGAUGAAGGCCUUAGGGUUGUAAAGCUCUUUCAGCUGGGAAGAUAAUGACGGUACCAGCAGAAGAAGCCCCGGCUAACUCCGUG